rnacentral:siRNA from 1 species
ACGGUGAACCAAUGCCUAGCGCCU